UGCGCACGACUGAGCCCUUCUCCCGGCCUCUCUCACGAAAGCGCUCUUCCGUAAAAAAUCUCCUGAUUUCUACUCUCCAGAGGCGAGCCAAAUUGAUUUCGGACUUCAGAGCUUCGCUUCACGUUAAUCUCAUCAGAAUCCGGUGCAUAACGGAGUGUCUCAUUUUCUGGAUCAGUCGUGUUUCAGACUUUAGAGACUUGAUUCUUGCUAGUGCCAUUGAAGGCAUGGAAUGAUUCUAUCAAAGAUGGAGUUCUCUCGGUCGGCUCACCGAUACCAAGUAAAUUACAUCUUCCUUUCAGCUGCUGAUUUAGUUCAUUGACACCCUUUUUCCUGAAGAGUUCUAUCAGCUGGUUUAGGUCUGCUUGUGGAAUCACAAUCACAAAUAGGAUUUUGAUAUGUAGUUUAAAGACUGAUUUUUGUUUCAACAAUCAGUAAUGAUGCACGCGGUAGCAAAAACUUCAGUCCUUCCAUGUUUAACAACCGACUUCAGUAACUCGGUAUGUAUCGACUUUAGCUGUUGUCUUGCAUCCAUUUUCAUGCAGGAAAUGGCUGGAAUCUUUAAAGCAAGGAAUAGUGGGUAGAGUUAGAAAGGUAGCUUCCAUUACCAUUACUCAGUUAAAGACAUUGUGACAUUCCACGCAGAGUGAAAUGAAAUAUUCUUUAUAUA